rnacentral:rRNA from 1 species
AUUGAACGCUGGCGGCAGGCCUAACACAUGCAAGUCGAGCGAGCGGCGGACGGGUGAGUAAUGUAUGGGGACUGCCCGAUAGAGGGGAUAACUACUGGAAACGGUAGCUAAUACCGCAUACUAUCGGAUAACCCAUAUGGGAUUAGCUCGUAGGUGAGGUAAUGGGUCACCUAGGCGACGAUCCCUAGCUGGUCUGAGAGGAUGAUCAGCCAAAUGGGGACUGAGACAGGUCCCAGAUGCCUACGGAGGCAGCAUUGGGGAAUAUUGCAAAAGGGGCGGAAUCCUGAUGCAGACAUGCCGGGUGGAUGAAGAAGGCCCUAGGGUUGUAAAGUACUUUCAGUCGGGAGGCGUUACCGACAGAAGAAGCACCGGCUAACUCCGUGCCAGCAGCCGCGGUAAUAC